CGGCGUCGUGAACUUGACCGUGGCUAUCAACGUUAAGAGAUCUCUCUCAGCUUUUGCACUGGCCACGCAGACGGGCAAUUUUCGGAGCGAUCUAAGCGUGGACCCGUCCAUUAAUAAUGCUGCCCCGUCGCGUCGGGUUCGUUCGCGUUGCGCUCCAGUGAACUCCAGUUCCAGCGAGGAGCUAGCUGGCUGCAUUUUGGGUUUGAGUUCACGCUCCGAUCCGGUUAUGAUACGCUCGAUGUAUCUCUAGUCGCUGCUCAGCGCAGCGUGCCGUGCAUUCCAUUGCAAUGGCCAGCUAAUGGAUAGAGCUGUUUCUGUGGCACCGGACUGGGAAUGCCAUGAUAAGCCAAGUUGUUCAAUUAGAAAUGCGAUUUGUGCUAAUCCCAAGACAUGCGAACAGCUGGCGAAAGUCACCCAGAUAAACCGUCGAGCAGCACCUGUGCUAAUCAGCCCGCCCCCAGGCAAAACUCUAACGAAUUCUAGUCAGCCAAGUAGCUGGCCCGCUUCUUGGAAUAAAAUGACUGGGAUGUUCAUCAACAACGCUCACAACACCCAAACGUGACUCCCAACGUUGACUGCCAAAAAUGCUGCAAACGCACCCACAGCAGAGACGCGAAGGCGGAGACCCGACCGAAAGCCACAAAGUUCCAUAAAAAUUAUACCAGUUCGCAGCAUAAUCUGGCAGACAUGUGUGAAUUUGCGGCAUUAUCUGCUAGCCAAGAUCUGUUUCAGUUCAACAACAAAAGCAACAAACAACAAACUUUGUUCAGAUCGCGCUCGCCGCAGUUUUUCCCACAGUCGAUCAACAUAAAAUGAGAUACGGAGAGAUAUUUGACACAGCAGCAGCAGCAGCAGCAACAGCAACAAAAACAUAUUCAAAUCCAGGACAGUUCGCGCCACCAGAUGGCGCUGCCUUAGUGAAGCCACAAACCCAACAAGCCCCCCCCAAAAAAUAAUAUUCAAUGCCUGGUUUUAAGGACAUGCGUGCUGGCACCAGCCCGCCUCAAAGGAGCCCACGAACAUCCCGGUGGAGUUCGUCCGGAGUUUCUGUGGAUUUAGUCGACAUCGGCAACGAUUCGGGGGCGGACGUUGUCGGUCUUUGAUGCGGGCAGCAAAUGCUGCUAUAUCAUAUUUUAGAAUAUAUUAUUACAGAUCUUUUAUAUCCAAAACAGGCAAAUUUUAACAUAUCAAUAUGCUAUUUUUUAUGAAUUAUGAGUACUACUAUCUAUAUAUUUAGAUAAUUGCUUCAAAUCUAAUAAUAAUACGUAAGCUCGUUGGGUUAGGGCUGGAACUAUUAGCGUAAGCCCAAUAUCGCGGGUAUUACCCCUUUUGGCUAAAAGCCCGGGCCUGAAAGACACGCUUGUCUCUAUUAGUCGCCUCGUACGACAAGCGAUGAUAUGCUGUGGAGGUAUUCUGAAGCCCGCCAACCACACGGACGACAAAUAAAGAUAUAGAUAUGAUUGCGAAAUGGUUUAUUUUUACCAAACAUCGAACCAUAAACCAAAGAAGUUGCACAAUAAAAGACUUAAACAGAAA